rnacentral:misc_RNA from 1 species
AGUCCCGGUAGCGAAACCA